rnacentral:ncRNA from 2 species
AACAAUUGAAUGAAAGUACCUCAUAUAAUUUCAGGGAUAAGGCCUGACUGUUUCUACCUGUCACCGUAAAUGACGGACUAUGAGGGAAGAUGAUACAUGA